UACGUAGGCAGCGAGCGUUGUUCGGAGUUACUGGGCGUAAAAGGGUGUGUAGGCGGUUGUUUAAGUUCGGUGUGAAAUCUCCUGGCUCAACUGGAAGGGUGCGCCGGAAACUGGAGUGCUUGAGCGUGGGAGAGGAAAGCGGAAUUCCUGGUGUAGCGGUGAAAUGCGUAGAUAUCAGGAGGAACACCUGUGGUGUAGACGGCUUUCUGGACCAUAGCUGACGCUGAGGCGCGAAAGCUAGGGGAGCAAACAGG
rnacentral:rRNA from 1 species